AGAGUUUGAUCAUGGCUCAGGAUGAACGCUAGCGGCAGGCUUAACACAUGCAAGUCGAGGGGUAUAAGUCUUCGGAUUUAGAGACCGGCGCACGGGUGCGUAACGCGUAUGCAAUCUACCUUUCACAAAGGAAUAGCCCAGAGAAAUUUGGAUUAAUGCCUUAUAGUAUAACGAGUUCGCAUGGAUUUGUUAUUAAAGAUUUAUCGGUGAAAGAUGAGCAUGCGUCCCAUUAGCUAGUUGGUAAGGUAACGGCUUACCAAGGCUACGAUGGGUAGGGGUCCUGAGAGGGAGAUCCCCCACACUGGUACUGAGACACGGACCAGACUCCUACGGGAGGCAGCAGUGAGGAAUAUUGGUCAAUGGGCGCAAGCCUGAACCAGCCAUGCCGCGUGCAGGAUGACGGUCCUAUGGAUUGUAAACUGCUUUUAUACAGGAAGAAACACUCGGACGUGUCCGAGCUUGACGGUACUGUAGGAAUAAGGAUCGGCUAACUCCGUGCCAGCAGCCGCGGUAAUACGGAGGAUCCAAGCGUUAUCCGGAAUCAUUGGGUUUAAAGGGUCCGUAGGCGGCUUAAUAAGUCAGUGGUGAAAGCCCUACGCUUAACGUAGGAACGGCCAUUGAUACUGUUAGGCUUGAAUUAUUAGGAAGUAACUAGAAUAUGUAGUGUAGCGGUGAAAUGCUUAGAGAUUACAUGGAAAUACCAAUUGCGAAGGCAGGUUACUACUAAUGGAUUGACGCUGAUGGACGAAAGCGUGGGUAGCGAACAGGAUUAGAUACCCUGGUAGUCCACGCCGUAAACGAUGGAUACUAGCUGUUGGAAGCAAUUUCAGUGGCCUAAGCGAAAGUGAUAAGUAUCCCACCUGGGGAGUACGUUCGCAAGAAUGAAACUUCAAAGGAAUUGACGGGGGCCCGC
rnacentral:rRNA from 1 species